AUGGAACUCCUUGGCGUGCUCAUGUGUCUCCUAGCCGUGCCCGUAAUGGCCUUCCUGCGAAGCUACGGUAGGCGGGCACGUGCUCGCCUCGUCGUUCACAAGAUCGGCGACCCUGCCGUUGCCCACCGCGCGCUCAUCGACAACGCCGACGACUUCUCGAACCGGCCGGCCGGGAUCUUCCCCGUAUCCCUAGCCACCUGGGAAAACGGCGAGCCGAACGAGAACAUAACCACGGUGAGGUACGGCCCGCACUGGUCAGCGCUCCGCUGCAACCUCACCGCCGGGAUCCUGCACCCCACGCGCCUGGCUUCUCUCGCCCCGCUGCGGCAGGAGGCCGCCCAGGCGCUCGUGGCGGAGUUCUCUGGCGCCAGCGGCCGUGACCGUGAGGUGACCCUCCGCGGCCACAUCACCGCUGCCGUGUUCCCGCUGGUGGCGCGCCUGUGCUUCGGCGAUGGCGUCGACGGCGGCCACGUGCGCGCCAUGGGGAGCAUGGUGCGGGAUUUCCUAGCCGCCGCGGGGGAGCUCAACCGCAGAUUCGACGGCUCCAUGCUCUCCAAGAUCGUGAACUGGAGGGCGCUUCGCCACGUCACCGGCUUGAUCGAGCGGCAGGCCGAGCUGUACCGCCCGCUGAUCGAGGCGAGGAGGCGGUCACGAUCUCCCCUCUGCGGCGGCAUUGUCCAUCCUUACGUCGACUCACUCCUCGAUCUCCGCGUACCCGAUGAUGAUGCAGCCGCCGGCGACGGCCAUGGCCUGCGCGAGCUCCGAGACGGCGAGGUGGUAGGUCUCGUUCUAGAGUUCCUUGCCGCGGGCAUGGGCUCCGUGUCGGCCUGCGUCGAGUGGACCCUCGCCCACCUCAUCGACCGGCUGGAGGUGCAGGACAAGCUACGCCGUGAGAUCGAUGGCGCGGCUGACGCCACGCUUUCCAGCAAAACCCUUCGCACCGGCAUGCCGUACCUGAACGCCGUGGUGUUGGAGAGCCUCCGGAUGCACCCGCCGAUGCCGGUCCUCAUGCGCGCCGCGCAUGGCGAGGGUGCCAAAGUAGUGCCUGUCACAAGGGCCACCACCGUGCCGGCCGAGGGCCUGAGGGUGAUGUUCAGCUUAGGCGACAUCGGAAGAGAUGGGAAGACGUGGACCGACCCUGACGAGUUCCUGCCAGAGCGAUUCCUCCCCGGAGGCGAGGCGGAGGACGUUGGCCCGAUGCCGGGCCGGAAAGAGAUCAGGAUGAUGCCGUUUGGCGCGGGACAUAGGCACUGCCCCGGCAUGAGCAUGGGGAUGUUGCACAUCAAGUGCUUCGUGGCGGCACUCGUGCGUGAGUUUGAAUGGGCACCAUCGGCGGAGGACCGCGGCGGCGGCAUUGACAUGACGGAGCUGGAUGGGUUCUCCAAGCUGAUGAAGAAGCCCCUUACCGCUUGCGUCACGCGACGUACAUAA
rnacentral:rRNA from 1 species